GAUGAAGAACGUAGCGAAAUGCGAUAAGUAAUGUGAAUUGCAGAAUUCAGUGAAUCAUCGAAUCUUUGAACGCACAUUGCGCCCGCUAGUAUUCUGGCGGGCAUGCCUGUCCGAGCGUCAUUUCAACCCUCAAGCCCCCGGGCUUGGUGUUGGGGAUCGGCGAGCCUCCGCGCCCGCCGUCCUCUAAAUCUAGUGGCGGUCUCGCUGUAGCUUCCUCUGCGUAGUAGCACACCUCGCACUGGGAAACAGCGCGGCCACGCCGUUAAACCCCCAACUUCUGAACGUUUGACCUCGGAUCAGGUAGGAAUACCCGCUGAACUUAAGCAUAUCAAUAAGCGGAGGA
rnacentral:misc_RNA from 1 species